GUGGGAGGGGGCUUGCUCCCGAUAGCGAAGUGUCAGUUGACCUAUUCAUCAACUGACCCACUGCAAUCGGGAGCAAGCCCCCUCCCAC
rnacentral:misc_RNA from 1 species